rnacentral:misc_RNA from 1 species
AACAUACUAACCAGCGCCACAGGAGAUUGCGCGCCGCACGCUCCACAUUCACGUCCUCCUCACGCGCCUCCAUCUUAUCCUCUGCGUCCAUGCAGAGCGCACUGGAGGAGAUCCUUCGAUACAGAGCCGCCUUGGCCGUGCAAGCGGAGCUCGAACGACUGUGCAAGGCACACCUGCCGGCCUCGCCUUCAUCGGACGCCAGAGGACUCCUACCCAGCGCCAUCUUUGAAGGCCACCAGAGUCUCGCGACGACGGCAGUGCACCCCUCCGAUGUCCGGCACCGUGAGCGCGUUCAGCAGACGCGGGAGUGGGUGCAUCCCAUUCUCGACGUUCGCCGGCAGGCGGAUGUCGUGGAAGUGUCGCGCACGGCAACCACCGCCGCGACACGUCUACGCUUGGUGGCGAUGCAGUACGUGCAGGGCGACAUACUCGGUGUAGUGGUGCCUGCAGAACUCACAGCGGACGCUGGUGCAGAGACCUGUGCGCAGUCGUCAACCCGCUGCGUCUCCGUCAAGAAACUCCGCCUCGCCACUCCCGAGCCCUUUUACCACGACGCACUCCUGCCCGCACUGGAGGCGAUUGAACCCCACCACGCCUCGAAAAACCUGCUGGACCUCUGGCUCACCAAGCUGUGCGGCGCGGCCAACAAGAUGGACACCUCCUUCAAUCGGAAGCGCAAAGCGGCGUGGCAGAUGGCCGACGAGGCGACCUACAUCUUCUACGCGGUGCGCAAGCAGCUGGCGGAGCGCAUCGGCACAGUGCGGAUGCACAACGGCCAAGACGGCGGAGAGCGACCGUGGAAGCUAAAGGUACACCUGCAAAGCGGAGAUGUGCAUCUGCUGGCGGCGCUGUCGUCCGUUGCCGAGUCGACUCGCGGCAGCGGCAGGUCGGCGGAGACGGCCGUUGUCAUCGACCUGGUGGGAAGGGCCGUGGACUGCAGCGAAUGGGUAUCUCUUCGGGAGUGGCUUACGCUAUCGGCGCCGUCGCAUGGUGAGCCCCUCGCUUCGCACGAGCAGUUGGGCGUGGAGUGGACGGUGCUGAGUGACGCGGCGCUUCGCCUCCGCAUUCCCAUACGUCCCGCCGUCGUGCUGCGUUUGCAUACUCGCUACAUUGCUCGUCAGAGAGCGGAGACGUCGGCGGCAGCAGACAGCUUCCCGCAUGCUCUGGCACGCCUGCUGUUGCGCUACCACGGCCUCUGUGGAGGUCGAAUGGAAAAGGAGUCGGGGUGGCAAGCCGCCGUGCCACCCCCGGUAAUGGACGCGUUUGAGCACCACCACCAGGGGUCGCUCUCGCCCCAGCGCCCGACCGUCGUGGUGGAGUGCUUUGCCAGCCCCUUCAACGCAACGCGGCCCUUCUUCUUCUCCGUUUUUCAUGACACAGAUGCUGUCUUUGGCUCUCUUGGGAACUUCUUCGCCUGCUGUGACGUGGCGGCGUGCGUCGCUGCAGCGGAUGCGGCCGUGGGGCCGUCGUGUGGAGUGGCCAGGGCUCGGGAAGAGUCCUCUGCUCCCUGCGCCAGCGGUGGUGCCGUUGCCACGGUGUCGUUGGCGUCGCAGCCGCACCGCCUGCUGAGACUGGAGUGCAACCCUCCGUUCGUCCACGAGGUCAUUGCCGCGGCCUUUGCACAUCUGCUGCGAUGGCUGGAAGGCGCCUCGUCGACGACGGCCGUGUCGAUUCUCAUCAUCGUCCCUGACUCAGGACAGGCGCACGCCGCCAAGGUGCGCGCGACAAUCGAGGAGUCGCGCUUCUGCCGUUGGGUGCGCUCGUUGCCACCGCCGGACUGCCUAUACGUUCACGGUGCAAAUCACCAAGACCACUCCGGCUCAGGCGAAUCAUCUCUUCACCUGGGAGGCCGGAAGCGUCCCCGCGACACCAGCAGCGCGGCCACAGCCCCUUCCUGGAUUGCCGUUCAUGCAGGCAGUCUUGUACGCCUGUCGUGCCCGACUCGGCUGAUGAUCAUUCAGGAUGACGAAGCCGAGCACGCGUGCACUGGUGCCACGAUUGGUGCAGAGGUGUGUGCUGCAUGGAGCCGACUAUCGCACGCAGUAUCCAGCGCGGUUCGAUGAAAGGGGGCACUGGACGCUGCCCUAGCGUCCCACUACUCGACGUCUCACCGCCUCUAAGCUCGCGUGGGCGGGGAUUUCGGAUGACGCACUUCGGUG